CACUGGGACUGAGACACGGCCCAGACUGCUACGGGAGGCAGCAGUGGGGAAUCUUAGACAAUGGGCGCAAGCCUGAUCUAGCCAUGCCGCGUGAGUGAUGAAGGCCUUAGGGUCGUAAAGCUCUUUCGCCUGUGAAGAUAAUGACUGUAGCAGGUAAAGAAACCCCGGCUAACUCCGUGCCAGCAGCCGCGGUAAUACGGAGGGGGUUAGCGUUGUUCGGAAUUACUGGGCGUAAAGCGCGCGUAGGCGGUUUUUUAAGUCUGAUGUGAAAGCCCACGGCUCAACCGUGGAGGGUCAUUGGAAACUGGGAAACUUGAGUACAGAAGAGGAAUGUGGAACUCCAUGUGUAGCGGUGGAAUGCGU
rnacentral:rRNA from 1 species